GCCUUCGUGGUGUAGUGGUCAGGCCGCUCGACGCGUAUUCGAGAGGUCCGUGGUUCAAGUCCCGGCGAGGGUA
rfam:Stegodyphus mimosarum contig52881, whole genome shotgun sequence.